CGAAGAACCUUACCUGGUCUUGACAUCCACGGAAGUUUUCAGAGAUGAGAAUGUGCCUUCGGGAACCGUGAGACAGGUGCUGCAUGGCUGUCGUCAGCUCGUGUUGUGAAAUGUUGGGUUAAGUCCCGCAACGAGCGCAACCCUUAUCCUUUGUUGCCAGCGAUUAGGUCGGGAACUCAAAGGAGACUGCCAGUGAUAAACUGGAGGAAGGUGGGGAUGACGUCAAGUCAUCAUGGCCCUUACGACCAGGGCUACACACGUGCUACAAUGGCGCAUACAAAGAGAAGCGACCUCGCGAGAGCAAGCGGACCUCAUAAAGUGCGUCGUAGUCCGGAUUGGAGUCUGCAACUCGACUCCAUGAAGUCGGAAUCGCUAGUAAUCGUGGAUCAGAAUGCCACGGUGAAUACGUUCCCGGGCCUUGUACACACCGCCCGUCACACCAUGGGAGUGGGUUGCAAAAGAAGUAGGUAGCUUAACCUUCGGGAGGGCGCUUACCACUUUGUGAUUCAUGACUGGGGUGAAGUCGUAACAAGGUAACCGUAGGGGAACCUGCGGUUGGAUCACCUCCUUA
rnacentral:rRNA from 1 species